rnacentral:tRNA from 1 species
GAGGGUAUAGCUCAGUGGGAGAGCAAAUGUCUAGCUUGCAUGAGGUCCUGGGUUCCAUCCCCAGUACCUCCA